UGGGAUAACACCUGGAAACAGAUGCUAAUACCGGAUAACAACACUAGACGCAUGUCUAGAGUUUGAAAGAUGGUUCUGCUAUCACUCUUGGAUGGACCUGCGGUGCAUUAGCUAGUUGGUAAGGUAACGGCUUACCAAGGCAAUGAUGCAUAGCCGAGUUGAGAGACUGAUCGGCCACAUUGGGACUGAGACACGGCCCAAACUCCUACGGGAGGCAGCAGUAGGGAAUCUUCCACAAUGGACGAAAGUCUGAUGGAGCAACGCCGCGUGAGUGAAGAAGGGUUUCGGCUCGUAAAGCUCUGUUGGUAGUGAAGAAAGAUAGAGGUAGUAACUGGCCUUUAUUUGACGGUAAUUACUUAGAAAGUCACGGCUAACUACGUGCCAGCAGCCGCGGUAAUACGUAGGUGGCAAGCGUUGUCCGGAUUUAUUGGGCGUAAAGCGAGUGCAGGCGGUUCAAUAAGUCUGAUGUGAAAGCCUUCGGCUCAGGCGGAGAAUUGCAUCAGAAACUGUUGAACUUGAGUGCAGAAGAGGAGAGUGGAACUCCAUGUGUAGCGGUGGAAUGCGUAGAUAUAUGGAAGAACACCAGUGGCGAAGGCGGCUCUCUGGUCUGCAACUGACGCUGAGGCUCGAAAGCAUGGGUAGCGAACAGGAUUAGAUACCCUGGUAGUCCAUGCCGUAAACGAUGAG
rnacentral:rRNA from 1 species